CUUUAAUUGAGUGCUAAAAGAAUGGAUUGUCAAAAAAAUUCUUUCUUAAAAUUAAAAAUUGAAAUUAUUUUUAUUUGUGAAGAAACAAUAAUAUCAAUUAAGGACAAGAAGACCCUACGAAUUUUAAUAAAUUUUAAUUUAUAAGAUUAUAAAUUAAAAUUCUAUUUAAUUGGGGCGAUUUAAAAAUAUUUAAAACUUUUUUUUUAAAAAUAUGAACCAUUAUUAAUGAUAUCAUGAAAAAAAUACUCUAGGGAUAACAGCGUAAA
rnacentral:rRNA from 1 species